GAGUUUGAAUGUCCCUCUAGUAUCUUACAUCUUUCUUCUACAGCAAUACAUGAAGAGAGUAACCUGAUAUAAAGACAGGAUUAAGUUAAAUACAGUUGACCUUAUAGCAGGUUUUGUACAUUUGUUUUAAGUCUUUUAAACCUAUGCUAAGUUUGAUGUUUUUCUCUCUGCUGAUGUUAUCAGGUUGUGCAUAAAAGUCCAAAUGAAUCUAAUACCAUAUCAAUAUAAAUUAUGUAAAAUAGAAAUUCA
rnacentral:lncRNA from 1 species